rnacentral:rRNA from 1 species
GAUGAACGCUGGCGGCGUGCCUAAUACAUGCAAGUCGAGCGAACGGACGAGAAGCUUGCUUCUCUGAUGUUAGCGGCGGACGGGUGAGUAACACGUGGAUAACCAACCUAUAAGACUGGGAUAACUACGGGAAACCGGAUCUAAUACCGGAUAAUAUUUCGAACCGAAGGGUUCAAAAGUGAAAGACGGUUUUGCUGUCUCAUAUAGAUGGAUCCGGGCUGCAUUAGCUAGUUGGUAAGGUAACGGCUUACCAAGGAAACGUGGCAUAGCGGACCUGAGGGGGUGAUCGGCAAACCUGGACCUAGGACCCGGCCCAACAUCCUACGGGAGGCACCGGGAGGGAAUCUUCCGGAGGGGGCGAAAGCCUAACGGAGCAAAGCCGCGUGAGUGAUGAAGGUCUUCGGAUCGUAAGACUCUGUGAUUAGAGAAGAACAUAUGUGUAAGUAACGGUGCACAUCUGAACGGUACCGAAGAAGAAGGCCACGCCAAACUACGU